GGUAAUCAUGAGGAAUUUGUUCCAUGCAUAUUAAUAACACUUAAUUACUUUGAGAUUGAUGGUAAUUUACUUAUUUAUUAUUAUCUUCUUAACAAUAAAGUUUGUAAUAGUUUCUAGCAAUGGAAGACACUAUAUUUGUCGUGAGCCACAUGGAGAAUGUGCUGCCAAGACCGCACAUGCGCAUUGCUUUUUCAACACAGUGAAGCUCAAGCAUGAACCCUUCAACCCCGCCACCGUCACCGUGCGGCGUGCACGUCACACCCAGUCUCUGUCAGUUCAGCCAUCGCCAUGCCGUACGUCUCUCAAACCGUGUUGCGAACCUGUGUGACCUAAGGCGCUGUGCAGCUGUAUCCACUUAAGUGACGAUGACGAGCUAGAGGAGUGCUUCUGGAACAGCUAAAGGAAGAAAGAUAGUCGAUGAGGACAGACAUUAGAUUUGUGUCCGCCGCCAUCACCACCACCAGUCCACUACCACCGCCGCCAUUACUUGGUCGCCGAUCUUCACGUGCAGGUCACUGUGAGCCUUGAACUAGAUCAAUGUGCCUAACUGAAUUGGAUUGGCUGUUAGUGAAAUGCACCACAAAUAGAAUGAGAUAAGAAGGGAAGAACAACAUCUUCGGAUCACUUGUUCUCUUGUGAAGAGACUGCCCUCACACAAGGAAUCUACAUUUUCAUGGAUGGUGAAGAGCACAGGAUCACCAGAUACCUGCUGUCCUGCCACCAAGAUUCUCCCUUGACACCACACCACCUCACGUCAUCUGUCCCAUCACCUCACUGACACCAGUGGCAGGAGAAACCCUGCCUAUCUGAUGACCUGGCUUGUUCUACACAGUCCUGCCCUGUCCCCAGUGUGAUGAAUGGGUCGGAAUGAUGUGGCAAGGAAAUGUAUGGGCACUGUCUGCGGAUUCACCAUGCAGUCUCCUGAGUAUUCCGACCAUUGGAGUUUCACAAGAGUUGCUUUCAUUGGCCUAAGAAACUGGACUGAUCAACAGCUUUAGGUGGUGGACCAAUUGGACCAGCAGCCACCUGACAGUCUAGGAUGCCUCUGCCCUCCCUAGCUCACUGCUGAGGAGGAUGAAAUUUCAGGUAACAUUACUGACCAGACAACCAUAACCCAAAAGAUUCUGUACCAGUCCUUAAGGAAAUCAUGCACCAGACGCUUGGGAUCACCCAGUCACUCACCCCUCAGCCAAGGUAACAACAUUAAGGUUCUCCAACUCCAAGCAUUUCACCAUUCCUGUUCACUUGUUUCCCCAGUUUUCCUGUGUUUGUUCAUUCAUGUCACCUAUCACAAGCACUGUUUCCUCCCUUUAUUCUCACAUCUGUCAUGUUCCUAUUCUCCUUAUGAGUCCUCUCUCCCAUAAGUCACAUGUACCACCACCACCACCACCACUGUUCUGCCACUCUCAUACCUACAGUCUACUCUCACCAGCAUCACAUCUUCACUGCUUCCACACUUUUCACAUCAAUCUGCUCUACUUUGUCCUCUUCCUUUUUAGUUUAAGGAUGUCUCCAGUGCUUAACAUCCCUCUCCCAUCAUGGAAUACUUGCAUCCCUCCAUUUGCACAUUAUCUCGGGUGAGUCUCAGUAAGCCAGAAUGUUACACUUCCACUCACUGAAUUGCUUGCCUACAUCCUGAAACUUUCCCACAUCCCAGGCUCUUACAACCAAUAUCUUCAUGCAUUCACUUGCCUGGUUAGUAGUUUUCUUCCAUGAUCUUGAUAUUGAUGUUACAGGUGGCUUGGGAUCACUUCAGAACCUUUGAACUGGUAACUCCUGUAGAGGACAGAGAAAAGAGCAGUAUCCUGUUCCCUAAUUAUUCCUAGAUAUAGCAUGCCAUAUUUUCUCCAGAAAGUCCUUCACAGACUCAAUCAUCCUUUCACUUGUCUACACAGUCCCAGCAGCAACAUUACCCAUUCAAUUCUUGUCUUCUCCAGCUUUUCAUCCCUAUUAUGUAUGCUGUACUUGUCAGAAUCACUUGAUGCCCAUCUCCCUCCUGUCUGAUACCUCUCACACUCCAGCGACUCAUCCUCUCCCAUGUCACACAUCUGGCACACUUGAAUGUGGGACUCACAGACCAUGUGUAGUUCCUUGCAUUCACAUCCAUACAGUGUGUCCUAACUGAAUAGAAGAUUCAGAUUGCCAUCCAGGCUACCAUUAUACCACCUAUCAUACAUCAUUCUUCCAUAUAUUCAGUCGAUCCCACCCACUUCACCCCCCAUUCUCUCUCUCUCUUACUUUUCCAUUUACUCACAUCCCAUUCAGUUUCCACUCUGCCUCUUGUCUUGGUACCUGCCAGCUAUUCUCAUGUCCCAUACAACCUGUAAUCCACUCGCAGCUCUUCCUUCAUUUGCUUCCACUUUCACUCCACAGGUACACUUUUCUCACUAUUAUACCAUCCAUUCUUUCCAACCUAAUCUUUUAUUAGUCUUUCCCUAAUGGUGCUCCAUCCUAUAUCAUCUCUCAAAGCUUCUACUGCUGUGUACUUCGGUGCAUUCACUGCCAUUCUAGCUACUCUAUUCUGCCCCACUUUUAACUUGUAAAUUUCACUUUUGUUCCAUGCAAUCACAUCCAUACCAUACAUUUUACUAGACAUGGCCACACUCUUCCACACUUCUCUCAGCACAUCACAUUUACUCGCUCUUGCUAGCUUCACUCCCCAGUUGCCCUACCUCACUGGUUCACCAAGCUUAUCUUUUCAUUCCUUGUCUUUUCACAACCAUUCAGACUCGCCCACAUUCCCAACAUGUCAUUUUACUCAAUUCAUUUAUACAAUGUCAUUCAACACUGCACUGAACACAAUGGAAGCAACACAUCUCAUCUGUGAAGGUCUGUAAACUUCAAUAAAAACCUGUUUAUGAUAGCUGUUAUAAAGAAAACUUGCUGCCAAUGAUUCAAAUAUCAAAUGUUUGAGGAACCUGUAAUUUUAUCUGAAAACUUAUUAUUUUAUCAGUAUAUCAAUCCCCCCCUUAGUUAUCCUCUGAAUGUCCAUACUAUUGACAGUAGUAGUAGCAGUUA